GACGAACCGUACGAACGUUAUUCGGAAUCACUGGGCUUAAAGGGUGCGUAGGCGGCGGCGAAAGUUGGGUGUGAAAUCCCUCGGCUCAACCGAGGAACUGCGCUCAAAACUGCGUUGCUUGAGGAAGAUAGAGGUGAGUGGAACUUAGGGUGGAGCGGUGAAAUGCGUUGAUAUCCUAAGGAACACCAGUGGCGAAAGCGACUCACUGGGUCUUCUCUGACGCUGAAGCACGAAAGCUAGGGUAGCGAACGGG
rnacentral:rRNA from 1 species